CCCCUAGAUGCUCUGGGCCGCACGCGCGCUACACUGGUCGAUGCAACGAGUUUCUUUCCUUGGCCGACAGGCCUGGGCAAUCUUUGAACAUCGAUCGUGAUCGGGAUAGAUUCUUGUAAUUUUUGAUCUUAAACGAGGAAUUCCUAGUAAACGCAAGUCAUCAGCUUGCAUUGAUUACGUCCCUGCCCUUUGUACACACCGCCCGUCGCACCUACCGAUUGAAUGGUCCGGUGAAAUCUCCGGACUGGCGUGAGUCGGAGCAAUCUGACAAACACCGGAAAGUUGAUUAAACCUUACCAUUUAGAGGAAGGUGAAGUCGUAACA
rnacentral:rRNA from 1 species